UUACCAGACUCCUACGGGAGGCAGCAGUGGGGGAUAUUGCACAAUGGGGGAAACCCUGAUGCAGCGACGCCGCGUGUGGGAAGACGGUCCUCUGGAUUGUAAACCACUGUCCCCAGGGACGAAGAUGACGGUACCUGGGGAGGAAGCUCCGGCUAACUACGUGCCAGCAGCCGCGGUAAUACGUAGGGAGCGAGCGUUGUCCGGAAUUACUGGGUGUAAAGGGAGCGUAGGCGGGGAUGCAAGUCAGAUGUGAAAACCAUGGGCUCAACCUGUGGCCUGCAUUUGAAACUGUGUUUCUUGAGUACUGGAGAGGCAGACGGAAUUCCUAGUGUAGCGGUGAAAUGCGUAGAUAUUAGGAGGAACACCAGUGGCGAAGGCGGUCUGCUGGACAGCAACUGACGCUGAGGCGCGAAAGCGUGGGGAGCAAACAGGAUUAGAUACCCUUGUAC
rnacentral:rRNA from 1 species